rnacentral:rRNA from 1 species
UACGUAGGGGGCAAGCGUUGUCCGGAUUUAUUGGGCGUAAAGAGCGUGUAGGCGGCCAGACAGGUCCGUUGUGAAAACUCGAGGCUCAACCUCGAGACGUCGGUGGAAACCGUUUGGCUAGAGUCCGGAAGAGGAGAGUGGAAUUCCCGGUGUAGCGGUGAAAUGCGCAGAUAUCGGGAAGAACACCCGUGGCGAAGGCGGCUCUCUGGGACGGUACUGACGCUGAGACGCGAAAGCGUGGGGAGCGAACAGG